AGAACGAACGCUGGCGGCAGGCCUCAAACAUGCAAGUCUAGGGGGUGCAGCAAUGCAUCACCGGCGGACGGGUGCGUAACGCGUGGGAAUAUACCUAUUGGUUCGGAACAACUGCGGGAAACUGCAGCUAAUACCGAAUGUGCCCGUAAGGGGAAAGAUUUAUCGCCAAUGGAUUAGCCCGCGUAGGAUUAGCUAGUUGGUGGGGUAAUGGCUCACCAAGGCUCCGAUCCUUAGCUGUUCUGAGAGGAAGAUCAGCCACACUGGGACUGAGACACGGCCCAGACUCCUACGGGAGGCAGCAGUUGGGAAUCUUGGACAAUGGGGGAAACCCUGAUCCAGCCAUGCCGCGUGAGUGAUGAAGGCCUUCGGGUUGUAAAACUCUUUCGACGGGACGAUAAUGACGGUACCGUAGAAGAGCUCCGGCUAACUUCGUGCCAGCAGCCGC
rnacentral:rRNA from 1 species